rnacentral:rRNA from 1 species
GACGAACCGUGCGAACGUUAUUCGGAAUCACUGGCUUAAAGCGCGUGUAGGCGGGUCGGCACGUCGGUCGCUGAAAUCCCCCGGCUCAACCGGGGAAGGGGCGCCGAUACGGCCGGCCUGGAGGGACGUAGGGGGGCUGGAACUUCCGGUGGAGCGGUGAAAUGCGUUGAGAUCGGAAGGAACGCCCGUGGCGAAAGCGGCCAGCUAGACCAGUUCUGACACUGAGGCGCGACAGCGUGGGGAGCAAACAGGG